CUGGAGAGUCCACACUGCAGACUGGAGACUCUGAGAUGGAGGUUGUGGUCUCUGUCAGACUGCGAGGGAUGAGAAAGGUGGUGGUGGUGUUGAGAGAGGAUCAGCUGUGUCCUGAUGAUCCAGAGAGGUUGAAGCAGCAGCAUCAGCUUGUGUGUGGAGAGGCUCUGACUGGGCCAUGUUACUGGGAGGUAGAGUGGAGAGGAGAGCUUCAUCCAGCAGUGACUGACUUUUCAAAAUUCUAAAAUUAAUUUGGUCCCUCUCCCAACUUGAACCCCAGGGUGGACCGUCAAAUGAUUCCAGCCCCCCAGAUAUGCUGUCAACCAUGUCCAAGACAUAAAAUCAAAUAAAAAUCAAUCAACGAGGAUAUAAUUGAAAUGACAAACUUAGAAAGGCGCUCUGUGUAUGUCGACUGUUGGACAGACUUGGAUGUGACCCUCUCAGGAGUGUAUUACUAAAGUGAGGCAAGGUGCACACACACACUUUCUGCUCAUCAUGUGCACAGUAGUGCAGAUUGGGCUGUAGGAAAAAUAAUAUGCUGUUCAUAUUUUGUCAGACUCAUUUUGGUAACUAUGUGUCACAUAUCCAUUAUCGCGUAAAUUACAUUUACAGUAGCAUACAGCAAUCCGUGACACAAUGCCCAAAUUUCUUUUUACAACUGUUUUUUUUGUAAAUUAAGAACUGUUACGUUCUGAUGUUCUGAUGAUGAUGUUCUGUUGUAAGAAGAAAAGCUUCCAAAAUGUUUGAAAUUGUGGAAAUACAUGUUACUGUCCUUGAUAACAGGAACUAUUUUUCUUUCUAAAUGUUAUAACAAAAUCUGUACCUUUAAAUAAUAACAAGCCAUUAAAACGCCAAAAAAACACGUCAAUCAGAGAGAUUUUAUGGUGAUUUGCAUAUUUUUCUAUUCUAAGUUUUCUGGAUUUUUAAGAGGGGGAUGGAGAGUAGUUAUAUUUUAUUUAAAGGUGUAUUUAGAUAGUCAACAAAGAAACAUAAUGUACCUGACACAUAAACCUGGUUAAUACCUUUAAUUAUAAUCAUUUUCUGGAGGUUUAUAUUGCUGUGGUCAAAUAGAUGUUGAGGAGGAGAGUUAAAUGCUUCUGAUGAGUCUUUCAUUUAAAAGUGGUAGAGGAUGAUGAUUUUUGCGAUGAUGCUGAAGGCCUGAUGUACUGCAGGUUAUAUGUUAAGUUGUCUCUUGAUGUACAUUGUUUUGUGUGGGUUGUGUGCUGGGUUUUAGUGUUUUACAUAUUUUUAUAUUUGAUGUGUUUUGUGUUCAGUGUUCCUCAAGGAGGAACACUGAACUCUUAAACAGAGUUGUGAUCUCUACAUGCCGUUACAUCUGAAUUUAAAUAAAGAGAAAAAAAGCCAA